UGGAUCAAUGAUGAAUACUUGUAGGGCAUCUGAAUAAAAGACUUUGAUUAAACCCUGCCUGUAACUCUUAGGUCCAU
rnacentral:snoRNA from 1 species